AAGCAAGAUGACCCGCCGAAUUUAAGCAUAUAAUUAAGCGGA
rnacentral:rRNA from 1 species